CCUACGGGAGGCUGCAGUGGGGAAUAUUGGACAAUGGGCGAAAGCCUGAUCCAGCAAUGCCGCGUGAGUGAUGAAGGCCUUAGGGUUGUAAAGCUCUUUUACCCGGGAUGAUAAUGACAGUACCGGGAGAAUAAGCUCCGGCUAACUUCGUGCCAGCAGCCGCGGUAAUACGAGGGGAGCUAGCGUUGUUCGGAAUUACUGGGCGUAAAGCGCACGUAGGCGGCUUUGUAAGUAAGGGGUGAAAGCCCAGAGCUCAACUCUGGAAUUGCCCUUUA
rnacentral:rRNA from 1 species